ensembl:lncRNA
AUGGGUUCUAAAAAUAUUGUGGCCUCCAGGUACUGGGCCUUCUGUAACUAUGAAUUAAGUUGGCCCUGGUCUGUCUUUGUAACCCUAGUUCUCAGUCUGAGUACAAUCAAUAUUCAAUAAAUUUGUGUUGAAGGAAGUUAAUAUUCUAGUCCAGCACACUCAAAAAGUUGUUUGAGAAUCAAAUGGGAGAGGAGUUUCAGAAGCAAUGUAUAAACUGUGAGGUCUAUGCAAAUCAAAGAAAUUUGGGGCAGGGAAAGAGAUGUUAAUUUGUGCAAUAGAAUUCAAGAUUUCAUCCAGAGGAGGAAGCACACCAGGCUGUGAGUAUCACUGAUAGGGAAAGCAGCAGAAUACCGAAGCAAAUGUUUGCCUCCUUCAGUAUUUUGCCAAGGCCUGGGCCUGUGUGGUGCUCGCCCCUGGAUUUGGACAGCUGUCAGGAAAAUCAGCAGGAACCGGGAACAAACAUAUGUCGAGACACAGGCAACAUCGGACUGUGAAAGCUGAUCCGCCGGCCCAGCUCCACCAGAUGGCAGUAUGUCAACGGGGAGUCUGACGGAGCGUCUCCAAGGGGCCCCAAUUAAAUGACCUUGUGCUCAUAACAAGACCAGGGGAGCUGCUUGUUAGCAUAAUUGCUGAUAAUUUUUCUUCUCAUCGAACGAGGAUUUUUUUUUAAUUAACAGCAAAGGAUACAAAAUUGAGUAUGUUAUUGUACUCCUUGUCCACAAUGAGGCUAAAACCAAGGUAGGGAGUUAAGACAUGCAAAAAAAAAAAAAAAAAUCCAAAAAACAAACAAAAAGUAACAGAUAUUGAUAGUCAUCAUACACAAAUUCAUUCAUCGUCAUCAUCGUCAUCAAUUACAAAAUGCUACUGAUGUUGAGUUUUCAUUCAGCCGACCUCAGUGAAUUUCUUCUGAGUCUUAUAAAUGAAAGUUAAUUCAUUGGGGAACGUAAAUUGUACGGACAUGGUCUAUGAUAAUACUCACUCCAAGAGUCAUCCAGGGCUGGAAAAGUGCUUCCAUGUCAGAGGCCACACGCUGCAGCCAAGCACAGGGCCCAGCCUUCCCUCAGCAGCUGAGGACUUGCAGACAAUGCGUUCCUGGGUCAGCCAAGGGCUGGAAAAGUGCUUCCGUGUCAGAGGUCACACGCUGCAGCCAAGCACAGGGCCCAGCCUUCCCUCAGCAGCUGAGGACUUGCAGACAAUGCGUUCCUGCAUCACAGCUGCAUCUUACUCACCCAGGGGGUUGCCAAGUAGCUACGAGAGCAUGGACCUUUCCUUUAGGACACCUGUAUUAAUUUCCUCAGGCUGCCAUAACAACCUACCACAGGUGGGGUGACAAACAACAGAACUUUAUUUUCUCACAAUUCUGGAGGCUGGAAGCCUGAGAUCAAGGUGCCAGCAAGAUUGGCUUCUUCUGAGACUCCUCUGUGUGGCAUAGAGAGAGCCUCCAUUCUGUGUCUUCAUGUUGUCUUCCUUCUGUGCUUCUCUGUAACCAAUCUCCUCUCCCUAGAAGCACAUCAGUCAGGUUAGAUGGGGGCCCACCCUAAUGACUUUAUUUUAACUUAAUUAUUUUUAUAAAACCCUGUUUCCAAAUACAGUCACAUUCUGAGGUACUAAGGCUCAGGACUUCAACACUAAAUUUUGAAGGGACAUAACUCAGUCCAUAGGAGCACCCAAAUUCUUGUCUUUGUUCCCCCACUUGCUAGGUGGGUGAUAUACUAACGUUAGGCAAGUCACUCACUGGGCCUCAGGCUUAUUGGUUAUAAAAACAAGGUUAUUGGAUUAUGUCAUCUCAGUGCUCUAAAAAUCUAUGAUCACUACAAUCAAUACAAGUCUGAAUUUUGCAAGACCAAGAGCAGGAUGAUUUCCAAACCAGUCACAAAGGACAACUGUCUCCUUGCCUGGGUAUCAGCAUGUAUAUGCACAUGUGUUUGUAUAUACUCUUUUAUCUGUAAAAACAGCUUUCAUCAACUUAUGAAGACCACUUUCCACGUAUACUCAUGCACUUAGUGCUUAAGGAUAAUAUCAAAACAAAGCAUAAUAAAAAUGUAUGUUCUCCAAGUAAGUUGGUAAUUUUUCUUUUAUUCCAUCUUUGAAAGAAAGCUGCAAGCAGAGUCUACUCCAUUCUCUUUUUUGAGUCCUUGUCUAUGUGGCUAUUCUCUGCAUGGAUUACCCACUUCUGCACUCACCCCUGCCCUAUUUCUGCAGAACAGGCAGCUAUACCAAGGCUCAACGCAAAUGUCACCACCUCCAUAAAACCUUCCCAAUAUCCCAGAAAGAACUGUCUGCUCUUUUCACUACCUCCAUAGCAUAUGGUAUGCUUUUCUGUAAUGAUAAAUAGAACCAGACGGCAAUGCUACCCAGCCAGGCCUAUGUAAUUAUUCUUCCUAAGUCCAAUUUAUUCACUUAGCAGUACUCCCGCAGCCACCAUACUAAGUUUCACUGUUUAGGCUAACAUGAUGUAUCCAACCCACACCUGGCCUCAGUAAGGAAGAGCCAUUGGUGAUCACUCAGAGCUGUCUGCUUUUUUGUCAGAGGCUAGCAGCGUAUUAUUUCUGAACAUGCCAAGGAGAUUACUUUAAAGGUAGGACAAUAUUGCCAAAGGCCCCUUCUCCCGAGAGCACUGACGAGUAAUGGGACCAGCACUACAUUCACUACCAGUCAUCCAAGGAACAAAAUGAAAAACACAGGGGUCUUAUUCCACCCUCUUCCUGCUCUCUCCUGUCACGCUGUGUACAGCAGAUAGAGGUACCAAGAGAAUAGCCAGAGACAUAAAGCACACCCAGACGCAAACCAGGCUACUCAAUACUCAUCUUGGCUUUUUCUCUUUAGCGUCCUCCUCACCAGUGCUCCCUUCCAGUUGGAAACAGGCCCUAGGAGUGGCUCACACCUGUAAUCCCAGCACUUUGGGAGGCCAAGGCGAGCGGAUGACUUGAGGUGAGGAGUUCAAGACCAGCCUGGCUAAUAUGGUGAAACCCCACCUCUACUAAAAAUACAAAAAUUAGCUGGGCAUGGUGGCUCACCCCUGUAGUCCCAGCUACUUGAGGGGCUGAGGCAGGAGAACCUGGGAGGCGGAGGUUGCAGGGAGCCAAGAUCGCACCACUGCACUCCAGCCUGGGCUACAGAGUGAGACCCCGUUUCAAAAAAAAAAAAAAAAGAAAGAAAAGAAAAAGAAAUAGGUCCUACCUCUGGGCUCCUUGUGGCCUUCACAUUUCUCAUAGAAGAGGCAGAGCCAUGAUUCAGCCAAGGUGUGUACAUCUGUGAAAAUUAGAGAAGGCCGGCCGGGCACGGUGGCUCACGCCUGUAAUCCCAGCACUGCGAGAGGCCGAGGCGGGUGGAUCACCAGGCCAAGAAUUCGAGGCCAUCCUGGCCAACAUGGUGAAACCCCAUCUCUACUAAAAAUACAAAAAAUUAGCCGGGUGUGGUGGUGGGCACCUGUAGUCUCAGCUACUCGGGAGGCUGAGGCAGGAGAAUCACUUGAACCUGGGAGGCAGAGCUUGCAGUGAGCCAAGAUUGCGCCACUGCACUCCAGCCUGGGGACAGAGCGAGACUCUGACUCAAAAAAAAAGAAAAAGAAAAAGAAAAGAAAAUUCGAAAAGGCCACGCUGGAGCUCUGGAGGAGAGAUGGAGGAGUGUCUUCCAGCACAGAAGACAAAUUACCUGAACUUAAACACCAGAAGUCCAAGAAUUGGGAGUAGAACAUUCUCUAAGGGACUAACACUUGGCUAGCAACUAACUGUGUGACUGCAGGUGAAGCAAAUCAGCAGCUUCUCGGGCUCUUUCAUCUGCGUCAAAUAAGGGUUGAACUCCAUGAUCUGCAAGACAUCUCCUCCAGCCGUGGCAGCCUGAUUCCACUAAUCCAGCCCAGGCAGGUUCUUCUGAAGAGAAAUGUUCAAGAGAAAGGAGAGGGAAAGAGCGUUAGGGAAUGACAGCCCAACAGCUUUCUCUUGAUGAAAAGGGACCAGAUUCACAGCGAAUUUUCCUACCAACUGACUUGGAAAAGAAACAUAGAUGUGAAAACACAUAUUUAUUAUAUUUCAGCUUUUUGCUAGUGAAAAUUCUUGUCUGUUUCAAUUAAAUUGAAAACUGAAUUUGUUUAACCAGUG